CAUUUUAAUAUCUUACCGAUUAACUAAAUCUGAUUUUAAGAGAAAAUUAAAUUUUCUAAAAAAAGUAACUUUUUCAAAAAUAAAUGUGAUUAUGAAAUUUUAUAUUCUUUAUAUAUGGGGACAGGAGUAAGAACGGCACAUCAUUCAAAGUUUAGACGUCAAUCAAGCUUAUACCACAUCAUAAGAGAAAAUAUAACGAUGAAUAAUAGUUGGUAGGAGUGGGGGACAUAAUAUUCGGACAAAAAUUCAGUGUAGGAAUGACAAACAAUAUUCACAUGAAUUUCGAUAAAAUAAUAACCUCAGACCCCAACAGGCCGAAUUUACUUUCUUCCAAUCACCCAUUGAACCAUGGAAAGAGUCAAAAUUCUUUAUCUUUAGCCAAUUCUCUUACCUACAACAAAUACCAACGCUUUUUAACCCUGCUAUCUACCUUAAGGACAAGCAUAUCCAGAUAUAUACUGAGUUGCAGGAAAAAAAAGAGACAGAAAUCUAUCUCAACGUUUAUUGGAACUCCCGGCGCAUCUAACAAUAUGGUGUCAUCAAAUUCAAAGCAUCGCGACAUUAAGAAUAUUAUUUACAACUCGAAUUUAGUCAAGAAUAUUCCCCCAUCUUCUUUGAGGUUUUCUAAAGGGUCAUUGGAGAAAGAUUAUUCCUAUAUAAAUGACAUAAUGAAGAGAAGUGGCUUUGUCAACGCCAAUAUACUCACUAACGGUAACAAAGUUGGUUCUAUAGAUUUAAAUUUUCCGCAGGUAGGAAGUUAUUCCGGUGUUGACAUCUCUCCUUCUGUUAUAGUCUUCAUUUUCGGUGGCCCUGGGUCUUUCAAAAGCGAGAUAGCUUCCAACAUUAUAGAUAUGUUCGAAUACGAAUACAUUUCCGCCAACAACAUUAUUCUAGAAUAUCUGAUGACCCAUCUGGAUAAUCAAAUGUUACCCUCAGAACUAAAAGAAUAUGCCGAGAAUUACCCCAGUCUAUUUUCCCUGACAAAUACCUUAAAUGCUAUCAAAUCGAUUAUAGACGCGAAAAAUUCAAACAAUCUUCCUUCAAAUAAACUUAGAGAUAGCAGUCCAAAAAAUGCUUAUGAUUUUUCGCUGAACCAUAUUUCCCCCAAGUUACCGACACAAAAGUGUUUUUUGGUCGACAUUAUGCCUUGCUUAAAAUUCUUGCCAACUGGGACUGAUUACUUUGUGGAUCCCACGGCUGAAUUGAAGCAAUUCGAACUAACGCACCCCAUCAGAUUCGCUAUCUCACUUAGUAUAGGCGAAAACAGGAUUUCCAGUUUCGUUUCGGGUUCAACUCUCAUAAAAAGACCCAAAUACACUCUUAACAAAAAGAAAGGUCAUACGGCUAAAUUAACGCAAAAUUCGGUUCUCUCCCUAGAAAAUUCAAAUCCUGCCGAACAACAAACACUUCAAAGUAGUACCUUUGAAGGGUUAUUGGAAUCUGUUAAAAAGCCCAAUAAACUAAAUGGGGAAACCAGGAUCGAUAAUGACCAAGUGGUAUUGUUGGAGAACGAGCUUAGCGAAGGAAAUAAUGACAAGUCAGAGGCCGAAUCAGUGGCAAAAGCCAAUGACGAAGAGGAGAAGUGCCGAUUGAAGCGUCGUAUAUUUAAGUAUCAGCAAAAUUCCGAAGAUUUCCUCCAAUACUUUAGAACCUCAUCUCGCUUAGUCAUUUUCGAUGUUGCGAGCAACGAUUUCGGCACUAUAUGGAGGAGGGUUAGAAGGUUCAUGCUGGCUUUCCAUGAUUCCACAAAAGCAGAAGGAACUAAACUGGAGAACGUUUCAUUGGUUCCUUUACCUAUCCUGUUAACAACAUUGCCCCCUUCUAUCAAGAAUGCUCAACAAAUCCAUUUAAUAUUCAAUUUCAAAAGUUGGUCCAUUAAACCGUCUAUUUGCAAAGGACUCAACAUAAAACAAGUCAAAUUGCAAAAUAUUUGUAAACUAAAAAGAUUGGAGAGUCCGGAAAGAAAUCUAGAAGAUUUAUUGCAUUACGUAUCUAAAGAAUGCUUUAAUACGCAAGAAAUGUUUGUGAUCGAUUGCUCAAAGACGAGUCUCAUGAACAUACCAUUUUUCCUUCAUGAGGUAAUAUCCGUACACAAUAGCGUAACAACCAGGGCUGCUGAGGUUGCACCGUAAUGAAGCUCGGGCUAUAUAAAAACUUGCCAGAAUUUUUGAGAGGCCUAAAAAAUAACAAUAGUAGCGGCAUUGUUACUCCACUGAAUAAUAAAACUAUUAUAAAAGCAAAAAAAUUGAUUGAAAAUGAUAACAAAAUUUAAGCACUCUAAAUUAGUGUUGUAAAAUGGCUCGAUUUGGCUAAUUUUAAUUUGAUUUUAGCCAAAAUAAUAUUGUGCAAGCCUCGAUAUCCUAACCCUAAUCCAAUAUAGUCCAAACCUUUAACUCCAGAAGAAAAAUAAGAAAGGAGUUAUGGCCAAACGCUCUAAACACUUACUUUUCCUCGAAUCCAACAAAAAUCCCAUAAGGCUGAGCGAAAUAGCACACAUUUACCUUCACGGGUUAGGAGGCAGUAGCAAGAAACUCAU